rnacentral:rRNA from 1 species
UGAGGCCUACGGGGGGCAGCAGUCGGGAAUAUUGCGCAAUGGAGGAAACUCUGACGCAGUGACGCCGCGUAUGGGAAGAAGGUUUUCGGAUUGUAAACCAUUGUCGUUAGGGAAGAAGAAGUGACAGUACCUAAGGAGGAAGCUCCGGCUAACUAUGUGCCAGCAGCCGCGGUAAUACAUAGGGAGCGAGCGUUAUCCGGAUUUACUGGGUGUAAAGGGAGCGUAGACGGCUGUACAAGUCUGAAGUGAAAGCCCGUGGCUCAACCGCGGAACUGCUUUGGAAACUGUAAAGCUGGAGUACUGGA